AUUGAACGCUGGCGGCAUGCCUUACACAUGCAAGUCGAACGGCAGCACGGGUGCUUGCACCUGGUGGCGAGUGGCGAACGGGUGAGUAAUACAUCGGAACAUGUCCUGUAGUGGGGGAUAGCCCGGCGAAAGCCGGAUUAAUACCGCAUACGAUCUACGGAUGAAAGCGGGGGACCUGCGGGCCUCGCGCUAUAGGGAUGGACGAUGGGUGUGUAGCUAGUUGGGGGGGUAAAGGCCUACCAAGGCGACGAACAGUAGCUGGUCUGAGAGGACGACCAGCCGCAUGGGGGCUGGAACACGGCCCAGGCUCCUGCGGGAAGCAGCAGAGGGGGAUUGUGGACAGUGGUGGAAAACCUGGUCCAGCGAUGGCACGUGUGAGGAAGAAGCCUUCCGGUUGUAAUGAAGUUUUGUCCGGAGAGAAAUGCUUGGGCCUAAGACGGUCCGGGGAUGACGGUACCGGAAGAAUAAGCACCGGCUAACUACGUG
rnacentral:rRNA from 1 species